AUUGAACGCUGGCGGCAGGCUUAACACAUGCAAGUCGAGCGGAGAUGAGGUGCUUGCACCUUAUCUUAGCGGCGGACGGGUGAGUAAUGCUUAGGAAUCUGCCUAUUAGUGGGGGACAACAUUCCGAAAGGAAUGCUAAUACCGCAUACGUCCUACGGGAGAAAGCAGGGGAUCUUCGGACCUUGCGCUAAUAGAUGAGCCUAAGUCGGAUUAGCUAGUUGGUGGGGUAAAGGCCUACCAAGGCGACGGUCUGUAGAGGGUCUGAGAGGAUGAUCCGCCACACUGGGACUGAGACACGGCCCAGACUCCUACGGGAGGCAGCAGUGGGGAAUAUUGGACAAUGGGGGGAACCCUGAUCCAGCCAUGCCGCGUGUGUGAAGAAGGCCUUAUGGUUGUAAAGCACUUUAAGCGAGGAGGAGGCUACUGAGACUAAUACUCUUGGAUAGUGGACGUUACUCGCAGAAUAAGCACCGGCUAACUCUGUGCCAGCCGCCGCCGUAAAAC
rnacentral:rRNA from 1 species